CCCAAAUAAUCUCCCAAAAUUAACACAUUCUCCUUCUCUGUCUUCUUCGACACUAGCAACCAUAACAGCUCAUGUAACACAGCCACAACCCACUUCUCAGCUUGAUCACCAUUGGGGUUUAAAUGAAAGGCAUUUUCAUAAGGUGAUAUGUAUGGCAAACCUUGCCAUUCAAAAACCCAAUCUUUCACCUUCUUCUUCAAAUCAAAACCAUUCGGGUAACUUAAAGAAAACCCAAUACGCUCCCCUUUCUUGACAUUUGUCAUAUCCCCAUGAGCCACUCUUUUCUCCAUUUCAGACACAGCUAAUUCAUCUCUCCAAGACACCAGCUCUAAAUGAAGCGUUUCUUUAUCACUAAAACAAUCUUGAGCCUCACAAACCUGAAAAUAUUCAGGAUAAUCUGAUAAAAGGGCUGUGAUAUAAUUAUGUGGCAAUCCCAGAUCAAACUUCAGCCUGUCAAUAAUAUGCAAAGGCAAUCUGGUUGCCCUAGUGAGCAUUAAAAGCUUAGCUAACCUUUUAACUGCAUCAUCUCUAUGAUUUGGAGAAUUAUGGAUCUCUUGUUCUUCUUUGUGGAUUGAGAGAGCCUGAGGGGUGAGCUUGACGUGGAGAGGGAGCGAAGCAGAGGGCUGGAACUGGGUAAAAAGAGUUGGGUAUUUUUGGAAGAACUUAAGGGCUGUGGUGGGGAGGUUUAGGAGGGGUUUGAGGACGGAGAUGGAGGAAAGAGGAAGAGAUUUUGAAGGAGAGGAGAGGAUUUGGUUCUUGACAGAAAUGGCUUGUUUAAGGUCUUUUUCUUUGGAGACUGCUUUAUCUAGAUACGGGUCGCGGACCCAUUUAACCUUGGCAGCUAUGAAGGUACGGUGGUGAUGGAGCUGGAGUGGGAAUUUGGCCCCGUAGAGACGCAUAUGUGUCAAUUGUCGCCGGCGGCUAAAGCCUUGAAUUGAAGGCUGGCUGUGGUUCUCGGCAGCGGAGAAGUGCGGCAGAAGGUUGAACAAGGUGUCUGCUGCAA
rnacentral:misc_RNA from 1 species